UUGCUUGGGCAGCACAUACAUUAAAAUUGGACUGGUACAGAGAUUAUUAGCAUGGCCCCUGUGCAAGGAUGUCAUGUAAAUUCGUGAAGUGUUCCAUAUUUUA